rnacentral:rRNA from 1 species
AGAGUUUGAUCCUGGCUCAGAACGAACGCUGGCGGCAGGCCUAACACAUGCAAGUCGAGCGCCCGCAAGGGAGCGGCAGACGGGUGAGUAACGCGUGGGAACGUGCCCUUUGGUUCGGAAUAUUCCCGGGAAACUGGGAGCAAAACCGGAUAAGCCCUUCGGGGGAAAGUUUACGCCAAAGGAUCGGCCCGCGUUAGAUUAGGUAGUUGGUGGGGUAACGGCCUACCAAGCCUACGAUCUAUAGCUGAUCUGAGAGGAUGAUCAGCCACACUGGGACUGAGACACGGCCCAGACUCCUACGGGAGGCAGCAGUGGGGAAUCUUGGACAAUGGGCGCAAGCCUGAUCCAGCCAUGCCGCGUGGAUGACUGAAGGCCCUAGGGUUGUAAAGUCCUUUCGACGGGGACGAUAAUGACGGUACCCGUAGAAGAAGCCCCGGCUAACUUCGUGCCAGCAGCCGCGGUAAUACGAAGGGGGCUAGCGUUGUUCGGAUUUACUGGGUGUAAAGGGCGCGUAGGCGGAUUUUUAAGUCGGGGGUGAAAUCCCGGAGCUCAACUCCGGAACUGCCUUCGAUACUGGAAGUCUGGAGCACGGUAGAGGUGAGUGGAAUUCCGAGUGUAGCGGUGAAAUGCGUAGA